AUUGAUCCCUCAGACUUCGUUUGCUAAACUUACCAUCCAUCACCCCCCUCCCAGCCCCGCUCAGAUCCCCCCAGAGAGGAGCCUAAAUGGAAGCCACUGUCCUGUCUCUCAGGGCCAGGGUUCCAAAUGGUUUGUGACAGCCAAGGACAUGGAGAACUGGGCUUGAUCCACUCCCUUUGUGAUGGAUUGGCAGCAUUUACAGUUAUUUUCUCCGUGCUAGGAUGGCUCUUAGAAAGGGCAAGAGCAGCCUGGAGGAAGCUGUGCUCCCAAUCCCACCGAGUACAGCAGUGAUGUUGUCACUGCUGGUUGUCAUUUGAAUGUCACUGUGCCACGGGAAGAGACACUCCACGGAAAGGAUCUGAAUUCUCCUGAGCAGCAGCAUCUGAGACUUCACAUCACAUCUCGCUCCUCAUCCACCAAAGUGCUCCUGCAGGCAGCAAAUUGGCACUUUGCAAGUGAAUACAGGAGGUGAAAUGUGGAAGGUGUCAGCAAAAGGCACUUGAGUGAGCAAUUCAGAGCUGUGGGAUGUACCAGGGCAGAAAAUGGUACUAUCUAUGACACUCCAGUGUGCUUUAAAGCCCUCCAAUUAACUGCACUCUUUGAGGUUGGGCAGCUGACACGCUCACAAACCCCAGGAAUCCCAAAGCUCGAGCAUCACUUCCCGUGGGUGUUUCUAAGGGGGAGAAGACACUGAACACUUUCAUUUUCUGUGUAAAUAUUGGCACCCCUACAUGCCCCCGAAAGGAUUCUGAGAGCCCCUGAGUUUCUAAACACCAGGAGGGAGGAAAGUGCAGAGCACAGUCACCUGCAGAGCAAUAAGGAUCAGCCUCAGGGAUGCUGAACUUCACACCAAAGCCAGGUUUUAUUUGCCUGUUGACAGAGUGAAUGGCUUUGUUGGUCUUUCCAACCCAGCUCUGAGGCAGUAAAGGUCUCUCUAAUCGAGCAAAGGCAGAACAAAAACUGGUGGCUUAAAGCUGAAACUAAAGAAAUCCAGGUUGGAAGCAGGACAUGCUUUAUGGGGUU